rnacentral:rRNA from 1 species
CGAUAACGAACGAGACCUUAACCUGCUAAAUAGUUAGGCCAACGUUUGUUGGUCGUCAACUUCUUAGAGGGACUAUUGACUAUUAGUCAAUGGAAGUUUGAGGCAAUAACAGGUCUGUGAUGCCCUUAGAUGUUCUGGGCCGCACGCGCGCUACACUGAUCAAGUCAACGAGUUUACAACCUUGGCCGGAAGGUCUGGGUAAUCUUUUGAAACUUGAUCGUGCUGGGGAUAGUCCAUUGCAAUUAUUGGACUUCAACGAGGAAUUCCUAGUAAGCGUGAGUCAUCAGCUCGCGUUGAUUACGUCCCUGCCCUUUGUACACACCGCCCGUCGCUACUACCGGAUUGAAUGGCU